UGAGGAAUAUUGGUCAAUGGGCGAGAGCCUGAACCAGCCAAGUCGCGUGAAGGAAGACGGUCCUAUGGAUUGUAAACUUCUUUUGUACUGGGGUAAAAAAAGGGACGUGUCCCUUAUUGCAAGUACAGUACGAAUAAGCAUCGGCUAACUCCGUGCCAGCAGCCGCGGUAAUACGGAGGAUGCGAGCGUUAUCCGGAUUUAUUGGGUUUAAAGGGUGCGCAGGCGGACUUAUAAGUCAGCGGUGAAAUCUGGAAGCUUAACUUCCAAACUGCCGUUGAAACUGUGAGUCUUGAGUGCGGAUGAAGUAGGCGGAAUUCGUUGUGUAGCGGUGAAAUGCAUAGAUAUAACGAGGAACUCCAAUUGCGAAGGCAGCUUACUAAGCCGUAACUGACGCUGAGGCACGAAAGCGUGGGUAUCAAACA
rnacentral:rRNA from 1 species